ensembl:lncRNA
AUGGGGAUUAAUGGGAAUGUAUCCUCUACGAAUUUCUUCCUCACCAGCCUGGUCCAUGGGAUAGGCAUCCAGCCCGAGACUGGAGACUCUCAUGGGCCAUACCCGGAGGGAGUCUAUGGUGCGCACCUUCCUACGACUUCCAUAUGCCCCAGUGGAAAUAGAGCAGCAGUGGGGCUCUACGUAACCCUAAUGAUAUCAGCCUCACCAGGUCGCAUUUCCUCUGGGAUUGCUCCUGACUACGCUGUCUUCGUGCCAGUGCGGGCUGUUGCAUGGCCGACCUUCACGGGACCGCAGGGCAUCCGCAGCGAGGAGGAACCCGCUCCUUCCCCCCUGACUUCACUCAGCUGGAAAACUACGAGAACGUUCUUUGUCUCACGCUUUGGGGAAUGUUCUUUCGUUAAACAGACACUGAUGCAGUUUCUUGCGAGCCUUGUGUACACCUGCAUAAGGUGCCAUUUGUCUCACACAGUGUCCCAGGGCAAUGGACCCUGGCGUGCCCAGCGCCCGGCAUCUCCAUCAGAUGCAGCUUUGAUGGUGUACCAUCUUCAUGGUGAGGCCUUGUCCACAGCCACGGACUUUCAGGCGGGAUUUGCUGCUCAGCUGAUGACCUUUCUCUGGCUCUCAGAGAAGGCACGGAGAGGUCUGCUAGAGCCCAGGAUGGCAGGAAAGCUUUGUUCCUGCCACGGAAAAGGUUGUGCAGAAGAAAUCUCUCAGUCCUGAUAGAGCCAGAGGUAAUUAUAGUUUCUUUUUCUUCGAUUCAUGAAUCGAUAAGGCAAAUAUUAAGAACAUUUUUGCAUUUUUUCCCUCCUCCUCUUUUAUUAAGUGAAACUCUGCCUUUACAGCUUGGGGAUGUUCUCCUGAAAAAGUAAAGAUGGAUGGCCUUCCCUGAUAAGCUUUCCUAGCAAUCAGACAGGCAUUCUUUCCCUGCACCUGGAGAUCAUGAUNNNNNNNNNNNNNNNNNNNNNGCCCGUGGGUCGCUGAGAUGACGUUGCAUAUGCCGUACCUUGAGCUGAACUUAAUUUAAGCAAGCUAGCACAAAACAAGGGCGACUUCUGCGCAGGUCUUUUUCUUAGAUAUACUUACUAAAGGGUUUGCAGUUUUCAGAAAAAGAGGGAUGCAUGUGGGGGAAUGUCAUUCAUCUUUGAAUUAGACUUGAUGUUUACGAUAUGUACAGCCUUUUUCAUAAUUCUCAAGGUAUGGACUACAGGAAGCUUAUUAACUGAACAGUAUUGGAAACGGUAGCUUUUUAUGCUGACGGAAUCCUUUUUGAACUUCUGUGUUUAAGCCAAACUGAAGUUUUACUUUAAUCUAUGUGCCUAUGCAUUUCUUGCCGGCAGUUUUCAGAUCUCUCAGUUGUCGAAAAAUUGCCUACUAUGCUUCAGAGAGUUUUGGUAUAAUGACCCACAUUAUUAUCCACUUCACCAACAGUGGGCUCUUGAACACAUAAUUUAAAAACUCCAGUAACACUGUUAGAGUGUAAACACCAGCCUUAUUGAUUUGAAAAAUUCUUUUUUCUGAAAUCGGACUUUUUUUUUUUUUAAAGACCAUGCUAAAGCAGAAAGAAGUUUAAAGGCUCUUGUGAGUUUUUCACUCACACUUCCCUAUAGCUUGUAAUAGCUCUCUUUCUUCCAAACCCUGAAAUCCACAGAAGAGAGCAGAAAUACUUGUUAUUGACCUGAAUUAGGAUAAAAGGAAGAGAGAAGAUAAGAUCAUAGCCGUCGGCACUUUGUUUAUGAAAACAUCAUUUUAACGAUGUGCUUGAAUCAGGCAAAAGUAAUGCGCCUCCCUCCUCUUCCAGCAUAUUUGAAAUGCCAGCCUGAUCGGACCUAGAGAGCAAUGCCCAGAAUUAGGGCAUUACCUUUCCUGUAUGCUGGUGUUGUGCAGGAUGGCAUCAUUUAAUCGUGAUGGUUUUUCUUCAUUAUUUUAGAAAUACUCACGAUAAUAAAAUAAAAAUAUACAGAUGUAUACCUAUAAGA